AGCAGACAUGUUUGCGGAUGGCCUAGUGCGUUGGCUUUGUUGCACGUUUAAGUCUUCACAUCUGCAGAGAAGACACAGUAAAGUAAUCCAUGAUGGAUGCUUCCCGUGGGCCUGUAAAUUCUUGGCUCGGAUGGGGCCAUCUCUGAAGCAAAAACCGAUGUUGUCUUGGCCUUCCAGAUCAUGCCUUCCACAAAUGUUCAUUUUGGGAGCAAUCAAUACUAAUCUUCUGACUUACGCAAAAAUGUCACCAUCCCAGUUACUUACUGUUGCAGCCAAAGUCAAGAAUGAUCUCGUUAGUUGCAAUUUACCUUGAGUAAACUAAUUUGAAUUGGUUGCCUGGCAGAUGUUUUGACAAUCUGCAUGCUUAUCUCAAGAAGUAAUCCAGCUGUUCUGCUUUUCUUCCAGCUGUAAAUUAUUACUUCCACUGUACCAGCUGCUUUAUGGCUCUCUUUCUCAUGGCGAUAGAUCCCCUUCACUUUCUGACUCCACCUGCUAGUUUUGUUAUUCCUGUUUCAUUUUGUAGGGAAGGGAUUAUCUGUUUUUUAAGCUUCCAUUUUAAUUGUUUCCAGUUACAGAAGGAUGACAUAAACCAGUUUUGUUGAUCUCACUUUUGCAUGAACUACUGUUGAAAACUCAGAUAAGGCAGCGGGAAAACUAAAACCAAAAGGAGCUGGGUGGUUGAGAAAGUUUUAAGUUCCAACAGGAGACAUCGUAAUUCCUCAGUGUUCAGAAACCAGGCAGCUGCUGGGAGCGAUGGAUGUUGGGAGGGGCUCUCCAUGCUGAGGUCUGGGUAUGAACCAGGAUGCCAUCCACUCUCCUGCUGUGUAGAAUACCACCAGGGAAUAUGUGUUAGUGGAGAAGCAACAGAGCUUGGUGGUAGGGCACAGGAGUUGCAUGCAGAACGCCUGAGAGAUUCAGGACAGAAAAAGGAUGUACUUCUUCACAGAGCUCAUUGCUAACAUGCUGAGUUCGCUGCCACAAGUCAUAGUGUUGGCAGAUGAUGGCAGUGGGUCACAAGUGAGUUGCAGGCCUAGAGCGAUGCCUCUUGGCCCAUAUGUGUGUGGGAAGCUGUUCUGGACCCACAUGGCUGAUAGCUUUCUUUCUUUCUUUCUUUCUUUCUUUCUUUCUUUCUUUCUUUCGUGGGGGAACUCCUGAUAUCAAGGCAGUUUUGCACAGGUGAAUUCAGGAAAGAUGGUGUUCCUAUUGGCUGCAAAGGCAGCACUUUUCACAGGGUCAUAAAGGACUUCAUGGAGGCGAUUUUGUAAAUGGAGAUGGCACCGGAGUGGCGAGCAUCUACCGGGGUCCCUUCACAGAUGAAAACUUCAAGCUGAAACACUAUUUGCCUGCUGUCCAUGGCAAAUAGUGGCCUCCGCACUAAUGGCUGCCAAUUCUUCAUCACCUGCUCCAAGUGUGGCUGGAUGGCUGGGAAGCAAGUAGUCUUUGGUAAAAUAGCUGAUGGGUUACUUGUCAUGAGAAAAAUUGAAAAUGCGUCCACUGGUCCAAAUAACAAGCCCAGUGGUGAUUGCCCGGUGAAGUGAGAUGUAGAGGAAGGCAACUCUCAAGGUUCGUCUCUUUCCAUCUUGGAUCGCCAUCACCUCCUGAGUGUUCCAUGUUUUUCCUGUGGUGCCUCAUCUACCCCAUGUUCCAAACUAAUAAUCUCUUCCCAUUGUAAGUAAAGGAAUUUAGGUGGUUUUUUUUAAAAAGUCAUAGUGUUGGCCACUAGUUUGGGUGGUUUUAAAAAUAAAUUACACAAAGUCAGAAACGCUCGGGCUGCUAGUCAUGAUGACUAUAUUGCCACCAGGAUCAAAUGCAGCCUGUGGUUCUGAAUACCACUUGCUGGAGAACAACAGUAGAGAGGAUUAUUGCCAUCCUGGAUGUGGGUCUUUCUGAGGCAGCUGGGUGGCCAGUGAGAGAAAGGACGCUGAACCAGGCAGGCCUUUUGUCUGAUCCCGUAGGGCUCUCCUUAUGUUCUUAGAAAUGUCCAGUAGGAAAUUCUUAGCACUGUCAAACUGCAUUUCCCAGGAAUUUUAAGGAGAAGCUGCAUUGGCUAAAUGGGUACAAUAAGUUCAUUGUGUAAAGACUGUAGGCACUAUAUAGCUAUUACGUAUAGCUUCACUGCCUAAAUCUAGAGCUAUGGGCUAGUAAUAAUAUUGUUUCCAAUGCUGUAAUAAAUAAUGCAGCAAAAGCAAAAUCUAGUCAACUACAAAAGAAGCAAAUGAUUAUUUAUUGAAAACCAUGCCUCUCCUUUUAGCUGCAUUAAUUCUUGGUUUGUGAAUGAUGCAUCAGGGAAAACAGAUGGGAGUUUGCAACUUUUUGCAUGGUGGGGGAGACUCCUUUUAAAAUAUGAGGCAAUUCCUGAACCUGGUGCUUAAUCAAUUCGUCUGUUUCCUGGCCAUCUGCUGUGCCUGCAUUUGUCUUGGAAAUGGUAAAUAACACCUGUAAAUACAGUGUUGUUAGUGAAAUAUGCAGUGUCCCCUUGGGGCAGCUUCUAAAUAACCAGAACUGGAUCCUACCAUUUUGAGAAGUGUGUAUUUUCAGUCUGGCAGUUUCUGAAUCAACUCUGUCAUUUAAUUAAAUGGAAUUGUAAUGUUCUGAACCUUGCGUGGAUUGCAGUAUUCCUUAUAAAAUCUGAACUUCCAUUUUCUAUUAAGAAAAGAUACCAGAGCCAGAUAAGAGAAUGCCUUGACCCCCUUCAGAACCAUAUAAAUCUUUGUAGCAUGAAAUACAAACUUUGCAACUGAUUCACUUGUGGAAUGCCAUUAAAUCUUCCUUCCAAAAUAGCUGAGGGGGAACAUUAAAGUGAAUGGAAUGCACUAUUUAAUGCACUAAUUUGAGGCAUGAUAGAAAGGGCUCCUCUUUAUUGGCAAUCUGCAAUACCUCGUUGGUGAAAAGCCAGUUAUUAAACCAUCCCUCUCCACCAAUGUACACCCGUUCCAGUCUCUAUAUACGGUAAGCAGGUGGGGUGUUUUCUGCUCCCAGUCAUCAAGACGAUUACACAAGAAUCUACUAGCAAUGAGUACACAUUAAAGCAGCAUCUUUAAUUUUUAGCUAAGUUAAAAAAAACAACCUUGGAGAAAAGAUUGUCACUUCACUUUGCAUGACCAUUGUGCUGUUCUUUGUUUUGUUGUUUUGCUUUUGCAUUUUGUUAAAGUUUAUCUUUGUCAUCAGGAACAUUGCCACAGGAAAGCAGAGGUGCAGAUCAAUUUGAGAAUGUGAAAGGGAAAAUGUGACUAGUGAAGGCAUUUGUAUAUAUUCCCAUUGCAAAGAUGCUAAGCCACAUCAGACUUCCUCCUAAUUCCAUAAUUCUGGAAAAUAUGUCACAUAUGGGAUGUCAAAGGCAUUCAAGUAAAAUGUGGCCUAGACAAUUUCUGUCAUCUGGGAUUCUUGAGUAUGUGGCUCGGGAUAUCAUCUGCAAAGCUGAAGCAACCAAAUGAAACCAAUUAAAAUUAACAGGCUUACUGGCUUUGAUUCUUCCAUACAGCAAAGCAAGAUACUUGAGCCUUGCAGAUAAGAGCUGCAGUGAGUAAUAAUACAAGACUGACUUUCUGGAGUGUAGCAUUCUGACUCCAAAAGUGGGGCAGUAGAUGUUUCUGGAAAGACACCCCCCCCAGCAUGUCAUGAAGCUGAUAACUGUCCCUUGUUGUUUGUGUAUACCCUGCUGUAUACUGUAUUUGAACAUGGAGAUUCCAUUGAGCUGCUAUGGCCUAUUGGUUGUCCUACCUUCUGUGGCCGUGAUCCAGAUAAAGUUAGUUAUGACCACUGUCUCACUGGAACUGUUGGUUUGAUCUAUCAGGAAUCUUUUUAUGCCAUAGCAUUGGGCAAGUAAUGUUUAUGCUGUGAACUGCCCUGACUUCUACGGAUGAAGGGUGGCAUACAAAUUGAACAGAUAUAUAAAUAACAAUGGAAAAGUUAUGUGGGAGAUGACAAGAACAGGACAUGGAUGAUGCCAGGGACACAAUGUCAAGCUCUUCUACCUCUUCUCUUGGAGGAAUGGCUAGUUCUGAGAGACUGAUAAACCACAAACUUCCGUGAUUGAUUUGUUAGUCUCAAAUGGGUGGUCCACAUUUAGGAAUACAAGUCUGCGAAGCUCAGUUAUGUGAGUGGUGGUGGUGGUUCUCCAGGGUUACAGUUUUUCCUCAUUCGUACCUGGAAAUGCCAGGGAUUGAACUAUGUGCUCUGCCACUGAACCAGAGUCCUAUCCCACAAGAAAAAGAGAGGAACACAAGAUGCUACUUUAUGCUGAGUCCAUCCAUCUAGUGAUGUAAUGUCUACAUGGACUGGCAGUGGUUCUUCAUGGUUUCAGAUUAGUCUUCCCUGCAUGGAGGUGCCGGCGACUAAACUUGGUUCCUCUUGUGUGCAAACCAGGUGUGCAAACCUAGGGAACACAGCCCUUCUGCAGCUUCAGUUAAGAAAUCCUGCCUUAAUGCCCGUCCUCCUGCUUUGUUCAUGCUUUCCUUGUGUACAGUAAGCUUCCUCUGUCAACACUUAGGAUAAUGGCACCAAUGGCAGUAACAAAAAUCUCUUUGCGAUAUCCCAGAGCUAAUGGAGAAGGUCCUGAGAAAUGUCACCGUAAAGUACUUCAGGCACUUGUGAUCCAAGAGUUCAGCCACCUGUCAACACUAUCCCUGCCUCUUCCCAUACAAUGCCUUCACUUUCUUCCUCUUUUGAAAUUCUUUUGAAACAAACUUUUCCAGCUCUGAAUGAGCGCCUUUUGCCAAUAGAGCAAUGUAGGCAUGCAUUAGCACAGCCAAUUAUCAUUAAUCUCCGUAAGGGAUUUGUAGGUUUAUGUAAAGGGAGGGAUAAAGUUUUAAAGUUUCGCUAACCAGCCAUGAAAUACUGGAGGUCUGACUUCAUGCCAGUUGAAAAUGAGGACUUAGCUGAACGGAUCCAGAUGCUGUCAGUUAUAUCAUUGUGUUGUGUGAUACAUGAGACUUGUAAGCAAGUGGAGACGCAAACAACAGCUUCUGAUUGAGAGCUGAUAUUUAGAAGCACUUAUGAUCUGAAAGCUGGAUUGGCCUAAGACAUUUUGCUACCUAAGGUGGAGCAGUGAAUAGCGUCUCUCCCCAACCCACCAAGUCUCAGAGGGUUUAGUAUCCCUGAACAGAAUUGGCUUUAAAGGAAUGUGUUACUUCUGAUUAGUAGAUAACAGAAUCAAAUAGGUUAUGCUUCUUCUAUCUACCUGCACUUCCCAUAUGGCAAGAGAUGCGUGUAGGUCCCCAAAACACAAAGAACUACUGUGGGGCAAGGGAUAAAUAUUUACUAUGAGGUAAAGUAUAUGCUGUGUUCCACAUUUUGUUGCUUUUGCCCAUAAGGAAUUCCUUUUGAAGCCUCGUCCUAUCCUGAUUGGGAAGCAGGGCAGUGAUGAAUGCUGGUGUUGCCACACACCUGCACCUGCCCCCUUAGGCAAUCACUUCGCUUUACCUAACAGUAGGGUUGGUCCACUUUGAAAACUUAUGGAUCAAGAAUGGUACUUUGAAAAGUUGUGGGAAGAAAUAUGUUUACAUAAGAUCUGAACAGUUGAACAUUUAAAAAGGAGAAGCCUCAGACUGCUACAGUUCCACUGCUAAAACUAAGUUGCUAACUAAGAAAUUCUCCACCCAAUGUGGGGAAAAUGCCUCCCUGAGAAUGGGGCUGCAGGUCUUGUAUUUAAUGUGUAACUAAGUGCUCUGUCUGAUCAGAAUUAUCCAGUGAAGGCAACCAAAAGUUCAAACUGAAAUCCAAGUCUAAAGCAAUUUUUAGCAGUCCCAAAGUGCUUUCACUUUUCCACACUGAGGCAUGUUGAGCAGUGAUAAUGUUGUGGGCGCAGCCAGCUUUUGCACUCCAGCAGAGGCGUAGUGUCUGUGGUCGCUGCUUGGGGCUGGGGGCGCUGCUGGGUGGUGCACGGGAGCUCACCACUUCUGUGCUGUGGCCGACUUGAAGCAUUGGGGUUCCA